CAUUUCUUUGGCCGCUCCCACGGCAUAUGAAGGCAGGCUAGGGGUUGAAUCAGAGCUGUAGUCGCGGGCCUAUGCAAGAGUCAUAGCAACGCGGGAUCUGAGCCACGUCUGCAACCUACGCCACAGCUCAGGGCAACGCCAGAUCCUUAACCCACUGAGCAAGGCCAGGGAUUGAAUCUGCAACCCCAUAGUUGGAUUCGUUAACCACUGUGCCAUGACGGGAACUCCUAUACUUCUUCCUUUCUUUCUUUCUUUAGUCUUUUUAGGGCUACAUCCUGGGCGUAUGGAAGUUCCUAAGCUAGGGUCAAAUCAGCUUACUUGUGCAGCAAUGCAGGAUCUGAGUCAUGUCUACGACCUAUACCACAGCUCACAGCAAUGCCAGAUCCUUAACCACCUUGAGGUGGAUCAAACAAGAUAUUGGUGUUAUUUAUGUCAAAGAAUAUCCUGCCUAUGUUUCCCCCUAGGAGUUUUACUGUCUGUAGCCUUAUGUUUAGGUCUUUAAUCCAUCUUGAUUUUAUUUUUGUGUAGGGUGUUAGGGAAUGUUCUAAUUUCAUUAUUGCAUAUGGUUGUCCAGUUUUCCCAGCACCACUUAAUAAUUAAAUAGAAGGUCCUUCCUCCACUGUAUUUUCUUGCCUCCUUUGAAAUAGAUUAGUUGAAUACAGGUGAUUGGGUUUAUUUCUGGGCUUUCUAUCCUGUUCCAUUGACCUAGGAUAUGUGGUACAUAAACACAACGGAAUAAUACUCAGACACAAAAAAAUAAAGCAGUGUCGUUUGCAGCAGCAUGGGUGCAACUAGAGAUUCUCACACUAAGUUCAGUAAGUCAGAAAGAGAAAGACAAAUGCCAUAUGAUAUCACUGAUAUGUGGAAUCUAAAAUAUGGCACAAAUGAACCCAUCUACAAAACAGAAACAGAUUCGCAGAGAUUGAGAAUAGACUUGUGGUUGCCAAGGGAGAGAGAGAGGGAGUGGGAUGGACUGGGAGUUUGAGGUUAGUAGAUGCAAACUGUUACAUUUAGAUUGGAUAAGCAAUAAGGUUCUACUUUAAAGUACAGGGAACUGUAUUGUCUCUUGGGAUAUACCACAGGUACUAUUAGAAAGGGGAUAUAAAUAUAUGUAUGACUGGGUCACUUUGCUGUACAGGAGAAAUUGGCACACCACUGUAAAUCAACUAUAACUUAAUUUUAAAAAUAAAAUAAAAUAAAAAAAUUUAGAAAAGAAAAAGAAAUGUGAUAGGUCUGAGAGUUUACCCAACUUGCAAUCUAACAAAUUAACCUGCUACAAGGUUCUGGGUGCUGACAGAAGACACAAAACCCCUACAUCAUAAUCAGUGGACUUUGCUACCCACAGAACAAUAGACAACAUGAAAUUUAUGCCUCUGUUUGUUCUCUUGUCCUGCAAUGCCCACAGAAGGCACAAGGAACGACCCAGAGUAAUGCUGUCCAUCAGUACUGAGGAAUACUAAGCUGAGGGAAGCCUAAUCUUUUAAAUGUGUCAUACAUAAAACUUCCCAAAGCCUGCCACUGAGGAAGACCAUCUUUAUUAUACUGGUCAGAAACAGGUAUGCCUAUUGCCCUGCGUUAGGGCAAUAGGUUACCUAUCUCAUUAGGUUACCUAACUCAUUGGCACUGACACUGGAAAUAGUGAGGGUUCAAUGCGGCUUUCAAUCCGUACUUGUGGGUUCCAAUUAGUUCUCAUAGUGUCCAAGUUUGUCCUGGCUCUCCCUUAAUACAAGUCAGUCUUUCUAACUGCCUGGGAUGAGGUAUAGAAGCAACAAGGGUACACAUGUCGUUUAAUAAGCUCUCCUGUUGUUUUUGGCCGAAUUUUCUAAAAUAAAUCUCAUAUUCCAUAGAAGUCCUACUGUUUCCAUUUCUCCCAUAAAUACAAUAUUUUCAUAGUUGGAAUUACAAAAUCAUAUAGCAAAAUUGUGGCUACAGGCAGAGAUUGAAAGGUAAACCAGAGACUGUUAAAUGAUUAAAUUUUCCUUUGUAACUUUAUUUACUGCCGUUAGGUCAACGGGUUUGACAGAAAGGAAUGAAGUAUUUGUGAUAUCAUAUAUAUCUCUUUAAAUAUCCAAUAUCAAAGGGAAUACAUAGGAAUCAGUAUUAGAAAAUGAUACGUAAGCAUCAGUUUAAAUCCAAGAAAUAAGGAAUAGAGGCAGAAAUGAUGUCAGGUUCAAACCCAUGGCUCUAGGCUGGACUACAUCAAAAAUAGAGGGAUUAGAGGUAUUGGCAUGAAAAUGGAAUUUUGAAAGAAAAUCAGCAAGGCAGGAAGGAACAAAUGACUGAAAUGUGUUAAAAUAAAGUGAAGACGGGAGUGCUCAUAGGAAAAAAAUUUUAAUGCAAGAAAUUUUAAAAAUAGGAUUAACAAGUAUACAUAAAUCUACCAGCAGAAUAUUUUCCCUCAGAUGUUUUGUUAUAAAUAUUAUAAAAGUUAACAAAUAUAUAAAAGGUUGUUAUUGUUUUUAUUAACACAUCAUAUAAAUGACAUGUUAAUUUUUUCAUUAAAAUAAAUCCUAAAUAUCAUUUUAGUGGCCACUAUAGAGUCAUCUAAGAUAUACCAUAAUAUAAUUGAACAAAUUGGAGUAUUUUAAUAUUUUUACUUCCUUGGUAAUUUAAGUUUGAUAUAUGUAGAAUAUAAAACAAAUUACUUAUAAAUACCAUAUUCAAAUUUAUAUAUAUUGAGUUAUUUCUUUUGCUUGGUACAUAAAAUCCUGUAAGGACUCUAAAUACUUGCAAUUAAACUGCAUUUUAUGUAGAUUAUACCUCUUAAUAAACCUGUAAGAAGUUUAUUAUUUUACUAAAAAUGCUUCUAUAAUUAGUGUUUAUAUUACAUUUUAAUCAUUGUUAAUAUGAUAGGGGAAUAUGACACCUUGUGUUUUUUAUUUUAAUUUUUGAUAAUUCAUGAGAAUGAUUUUUCAUGUUUAUUUAGCUUUUAUGGUUAUUUUUAGGAAGUAUAUGUGCAUGACAUUUAUCUAAUUAUUUAUUAGACACAAUUUCUUUUUAAAUAACAUUAUUUAUAAGCAAAAGAAAUUUGUUGAAAUUUUGAAAAAUAUUCUUCCUUGUUGAUAUUUGUCUUAUAGUUUUGCCUCUACCUGUUUUUGUUGAUAAAUACUUUAACAUAAUUUAAUAUGUAAAAGUUUGCUUUUCCUUUCUCUUGAAAAGUUAAAUCUCUAUAUCAUUUCAAAAUUUUAGAAACUGUAGUCACUUAAAAAAAACUAUUUAAUACACUUGGAAUAUAGCUUGGAAUUGAGGCAACUGCAACCACGAGGUAAAUAUCAUUUUACAGACUCUCCUCCAGCUAAGUCUGAAGCAAAUUUUAUCAGUAACAAUUGUAUAUCGUUAAUUCUAUAUGGUGAUGUGAUGUGCUGAUAAAUGUUUUAAAAAUAGCUAUCAAUUUUCAUGGUGUAAAUUACUGGCACUGUGGACUAUUUCAAACUACCAAUGUGAUCUAUCUGAAAGCAGAAUUGAUAAGAGAUGUGCAGAAUUGGCUCUCGUGGGCAUUUACUGGGGAUCCAGCACUCUCUGGUUCCAUAUCUAGGGUUUAUUUUUGCACUGAAAAAAGUGUCUACUCUUCUGUAAUUCACAUUUAUUUAUAAUAUACUUUAAUGUCUGCAAAGACAUUUAGCUUUAAUCACAUUUUUCAGAAAUUAACCUAAGUAUUCUAUCACUUUUUUCAGAAAAUGUAAAAUUACAUUUACUAAAACUUCUAUUGAUAUUAUAUUUAAUAUGUAAAUUAUCUUUGAGAAAAUGGCAUAUUUAAAAUAGUUUAAAAUGUUCAUUAAUAAAAAAGUAUCUUUCUUUGUCUUAGUUUAUGUGUUGUAGAAUUUUUUUUCCUGGUCUUCAGUUUUCAUAUCCAUAUUCAUUACUGUACUUAUUUUAAGGUGUAUUUACAUUUUGUUAUGGGUGCAUUUACUUAUUUAUUUAUGCUAUUAUGGAAGAAUGGAGUCUUUUACUUACCCAUAAGUCUUAGAACUGACUUUUGCUAAAUAAUUAUUUGUGCUUUACUUUAAUGUAGUACUUCAUCUCUGUUACUGAACUCACAUUGGUUCUAAAUGGGUUUGGUUGAAGUUCUAAGGCUUUCUAGAGAGAAAGGAUAGUGUGAUAGUUAAGAAUAUAAGAUCAAAGGAUCACACAGAUUAAAUCUGCAUUCUGGCUUUGUCAUGUACUGGGUGUAGUUCCCUGUGCUGUACAGUAAGACCUCAUUGCUUAUCUAUUCUAAAUGUAAUUGGUUGCAUUUACGAACCCAGUCUCCUGGGAUAGAUGGCAAUGGAGGAUGAGAAAAAGAAUGUGCGUAUAUGUAUGUCUGGGUCACUGUGCUAUACAGCAGAAAUUGAUACAACACUAUAAAUCAACUACACAUUAAUAAAAAUAAAUUUAAAAAACAAUAACAAAAUAAAAUAAAUUUAAAUAUUUCUAUCCUACCUCUAAUUCCCAAUUAUUUGACUCUCUUCUCAGCUAAAUGCUAUUACCUAUGUCCUGUAUGCCUGCCAGAAAUGUUUUAUACAUGUACCAGCAAAUAUGGACAUAUGCAUACAUAUGUAUGUAUUUUAUUUUUACUUAUACAAAUGGUGCUAAUAAUCUGCAUAUUACUUCUUUUGCUUAAAUGUAUCUUGGGAAAUAUUCCAUAUUGAUA
rnacentral:lncRNA from 1 species